GAUGAACGCUGACAGAAUGCUUAACACAUGCAAGUCUACUUGAAUUUGGGUUUUUUAACUUAGAUUUGGGUGGCGGACGGGUGAGUAACGCGUAAAGAACUUGCCUCACAGCUAGGGACAACAUUUGGAAACGAAUGCUAAUACCUGAUAUUAUGAUUAUAAGGCAUCUUAGAAUUAUGAAAGCUAUAUGCGCUGUGAGAGAGCUUUGCGUCCCAUUAGCUAGUUGGAGAGGUAACGGCUCACCAAGGCGAUGAUGGGUAGCCGGACUGAGAGGGUGAACGGCCACAAGGGGACUGGGAAAGGGCCAUUACUCCUACGGGAGGCAGCAGUGGGGAAUAUUGGACACAGGACCAAGAGUCUGAUCAAGCAAUUCUGUGUGCACGAUGACGUUUUUCGGAAUGUAAAGUGCUUUCAGUUGGGAAGAAAAAAAUGACGGUACCAACAGAAGAAGUGACGGCUAAAUACGUG
rnacentral:rRNA from 1 species